AGUGGUGACCCCGACGCUAGGGACUUUUAAAGUUAUAACGCACCAAUCAGAUGUAAGGGUGGGGGUCAUUACUAUCAUGACUGCUAGUGCCUGGCUUGCCAAGUCUAAAUUGGGAGGCUGCAAGACUGGUUUCACUGUAUCCGUGAUUGAUUUGGUUACAUGAAACAGAAGCCCACUCCAGCUAGUUUAAGCACGAAGUGUAAUUCAAUAUGAGGAGUCAGGGCUAUCUCACAGAUCUCAAGGGCAGGCAAGUCACACAAGGACCUCGCUCCUGGGACUGGCAAGCCAUCCGGACGGAAGGCUCUCUGGGAGUGCCCAGCAACCCCUCCCCCCUCCUCUGCCCCCCAUGCUUCUUCCAGAACACUGGUUUCCGGCCUCUGUCUCAAAUGAGCGUUCUGAGCAAGCCUCCUCAGUCAGCAAAUUCUGGCUUCAAUGGCGACCGAGUCUACCUUUUAAGAUGAGGAAAUGGAGGCCUCGAGAGGAAGAGUCACAUGUCCAAACUCAGACGGGCUGAUGGCAAGGAAUCAACAUUUCGUCCAGAACAUGCCACAAGCCAGGCCCGUUCCACACGCGAGAACCGUGCCUCCUUUCAACAGCCCAGCAAGACGCCUUGUUCAGGUUUUCCCUACUCUGCAGAUGAGCUGCCCCAAACCCAACCUGGUGAACACACUUGCCCGGGGUCCCAGAACUAGGAAGCCCAGAGCCAAGAUGUGAGCGGAGAUCCACCGGGCUCCUGGUCCUGCGGUGCUCACUUCUCUCUCCACGGCAAAGGCUAGGAGGAAGCAGAGACUCAGAAAGGUUCAAGCUGGGCCAGGGUCACGCCAGCCGCUAGCAAGUGGCAAACGUCGUUUUCCACCCAGGUCUAACUCUAGAACUUCUGCAUUUCCUGCAAAGCUGCAUGGUCUCAAUAACUUCUUUUGUGGAGCAACUGACUGAUACCAAAUCACCACCAAUGACUCAGAGACAGAAAGACCGAAAAGGGCCACGAACCUUAUUACUGUUGUCGUUAACGCUGUUCUUCAUCGCAGGGUCAGCAUUUACACCGUAUGGCUCAGACGGGCAGAAAUAAGACUUGUUUUCUUUCGCAACUGAGCCUGACUUGAUCACAGCUUCCCUCCCCCCCCGGUUUUAUUUCUGAGUGAAAGUUUAUUCUCUGCA